GUCACGGCAGACCAGUGCAGCGUCUGCAGCGAUGCGGUCACUGUAUUGGUCUGUUGUGGUAAAAAAGGAGCUGAGCCGAGAGGCGAAGCUCUCAAUUUACCGGUCAGUCUACGUUCCUACCCUCACCUAUGGUCAUGAGCUUUGGAUCAUGACCGAAAGGACAAGAUCCCGGAUACAAGCGGUCCAAAUGAGCUUCCUUCAUAGGGUGGCUGGGUCCUCCCUUAGGGAUAGGGUGAGGUGCUCAGCCACCAGGGAGGAGCUCAGAGUAGAGCCGGGGCUCCUCCACAUUGAGAGGGACCA